rnacentral:lncRNA from 11 species
UGAAGCACUCUCUCCAAGGCUGCAGCCAUGGAUCUGUGCUUCUCAGUGUCCUCACAGGCAAAAGAUCGCUCUAUGGAUUUCAUGCAUUGGGAAUGUUAUCCUUCUGGCAUCUCUGGUUGUCUUGGCUUUGCAGUUGGAGAACAAGAAAGGAAAGAGUAGGGUGAAUGACAGCAAAUGGACUAACAUGGUGGAAUGUAAUACCUCUUCAGACAAAUUUAAGUAUCAUCUAAGAAGCACACUAUGCAACCAAACCUCAGGUAGGGAAUAUACAUUGUAGUUUUCCCGCCUAUGUGCACUCCUUAUUUAGAU